UACGUAGGGUGCGAGCGUUAAUCGGAAUUACUGGGCGUAAAGCGUGCGUAGGCGGUUGGCAAAGUCAGCUGUGAAAGCCCCCGGGCUUAACCUGGGAAUGGCGGUUGAAACUAGUCGACUAGAAUCUGGCAGAGGGGGGUGGGAAUUCCACGGUGUAGCAGUGGAAAUGCGUAGAGAUGUGGAGGAACACCGAUGGCGAAGGCAGCCCC
rnacentral:rRNA from 1 species